UUACACAUGCAAGUCGAACGGCAGCACGGACUUCGGUCUGGUGGCGAGUGGCGAACGGGUGAGUAAUGUAUCGGAACGUGCCUAGUAGCGGGGGAUAACUACGCGAAAGCGUAGCUAAUACCGCAUACGCCCUACGGGGGAAAGCAGGGGAUCGCAAGACCUUGCACUAUUAGAGCGGCCGAUAUCGGAUUAGCUAGUUGGUGGGGUAACGGCUCACCAAGGCGACGAUCCGUAGCUGGUUUGAGAGGACGACCAGCCACACUGGGACUGAGACACGGCCCAAACUCCUACGGGAGGCAGCAGUGGGGAAUUUUGGACAAUGGGGGAAACCCUGAUCCAGCCAUCCCGCGUGUGCGAUGAAGGCCUUCGGGUUGUAAAGCACUUUUGGCAGGAAAGAAACGUUCCGGGUUAAUACCCCGGGAAACUGACGGUACCUGCAGAAUAAGCACCGGCUAACUACGUGCCAGCAGCCGCGGUAAUACGUAGGGUGCAAGCGUUAAUCGGAAUUACUGGGCGUAAAGCGUGCGCAGGCGGUUCGGAAAGAAAGAUGUGAAAUCCCAGAGCUUAACUUUGGAACUGCAUUUUUAACUACCGAGCUAGAGUGUGUCAAAGGGAGGUGGAAUUCCGCGUGUAGCAGUGAAAUGCGUAAAUAUGCGGAGGAACACCGAUGGCGAAGGCAGCCUCCUGGGAUAACACUGACGCUCAUGCACGAAAGCGUGGGGAGCAAACAGGAUUAGAUACCCUGGUAGUCCACGCCCUAAACGAUGUCAACUAGCUGUUGGGGCCUUCGGGCCUUGGUAGCGCAGCUAACGCGUGAAGUUGACCGCCUGGGGAGUACGGUCGCAAGAU
rnacentral:rRNA from 1 species